GGAAUGGUUAGGUUCUACACUUUACAGUACAAAUUGCAUAGUGCUGUCAUUCAGGCAAGGUAGCGUAGUCGGUGACGUGCAAGUGCAACUUGCUGCUGAGAGCCAAAGUGUAGCAGAUGGGCUUGCUGUGAGUUUAUCUGCCUUAUCUACCAACAUUGAUCAAAAUUUAUCAGCUAAUGGUCAAACUCUGGUAGCGUCUAUAUCUAUAGUUUCCACACCAUCUUCGUCACCGAGUGUCUCUUCUCCACCCAAAUCAAAUUCAACUGUCGUAGGAAGCGCUGUUGGUGCUAUUGUUGUGAUUGUUAUCGUUAUAGUGCUCAUCAUCAUCUUUUACAAGCGAAGAAGCAAUGAAUCAGCCUCUAC